CCUCUAAGAUGCUGUUAUUUCUGUUUUAGCUUUCUGAGAGCAGUGAGACAGAUGUAACAGUAAGUGUUCAGCAAAAAACAAUCUUAGGCAAGUAGCCUAGCAGAACAAUUAAAUCAAAUUGCCUUAGAAAUGUCCUUUCUGUUAUCACUUUAACUUUAGUCCAGUUGUACUUGGAUUUGGUGAUGUGCCCGUUCUGUACUUGGCAGGCAUGUAGAAGCUUAUAGACAUGCUGCUUUUCCAUCAUUGCUGACCUUCUCUUGAACUAGAAAUAAAGAACUAAGGCCUGUACAAAUCCUUUAACACUGUCACUAUGUCCCUGAAAAGUCAAAUUGUUCUUAGAAACUGCGGAUUUCUUAGCUUGCCAUAGUGUAAAUUAGUCUAGGAGAAAUAGCAAGAAGGAGGUUUGGAUGAAAGCAUUCAUUCAUGUUACAAAGAAAGAUACAGAAGGUCUAAUAGAUGUACUGGAGGGUCUCUUAUCCCUCCUGUAGGAGCUAGGGAUAUGGAAGGGAGAGAAAGGAGUGAGAGGAAGUCUACGUGAGAGCAGAGUUUGGCCUUUCCCCUCCCCUCUGUUUUUUUUCUUGGCAAAAGCACAUGACUGUGCCUGUCAGUGUGAGGGUGCCAUCUGUGUUGCACAGUGUGCUAGACUGUUACAGAAUUGCACAAGAAUUAAUUUGGAAUCAUACUGCUGAAGUGUUUUCUGGCUAGCGAUAGCGGCUGCCCAGAGAUGCAGCUCUCAUAAAAUGGUUCAGAAACCAAGCAAAAGCAGCAGCCUGCAAAACUGCCUCAGCCUGCUGCUGCAAAUCGAAUUCCCAGCAUGAACAGUUAAUGGUAUCUGGAUAAGACUUCGGAGCAAGAUGUGGACCAAAUAAAUUCUACCUGAACUUCUUCCAGAGUCCCCUCCAAGUGAGUGUGUCCAAGAGUUAUCCAGGAAAUUUUUAAGCUCUGCCUGACGUGCCCGGUAGUUUUCUGGUGUCUGAAGGCAGGCAUCGGUGCACCUGUGAAACAUCUGCCUCGCUGAAGCUGGCAUGGUGAGAUAGCGUAAGUGUAGGCUGUGUAGCACCUGGCCCCUGCCGCAUCUUUGCGUGCUCUGAGCACAUAUAGCACACGCUGGUGGCACGGAGCUCGGUAUAGCCCCUAGCAGCCAUGGCAACUUCAGAGAGAAACACCGAUGGGAGCGGUGCCCAAAUCUUAUGUAAGAGCGAUUGAGUUACAGUCAUGUAGCAAGCUAAUGCUUGUUACCCAGGCUGGGUAGCUGUGUGUGCACAUGCCUGCGGCAGCUGCAGGGAGACGCAGGUUCGCAGCGGUGCAGGCUAACCGCUUUCCGUGCGGCACACAAGGCGGGAGCGGGGGCACAGCAGUGUGCAAGGAGGUCGGCUGCCACAGCUUUGCUGAUGAGCAGUGUCUCCGUAAAUCACUACAGGAUGCACGUGUGUACUUGUGCAAGCAUGUCACUCUUAAAAAAUCUUUUAUAUUCAUAUGUAUAAAUGACUGGUACCGUUGAUAUCUAUUUCUACUGUUAACGAAUACCAUUGAAUACUAAUGAUUAAGGCUUCCAGAAAUGGAGGUAAUCAUUCUGCAGAAAUGGCAGAGUGUUGCAAAGGUACCCUGAAUUUAUCUUAUCCUUGUUUUACUUUUAUUUGUAAGGUUUCUCUUACAGUGUUCAUUCAAUAGUUAAUAGCGCCUUAUGAAGGUUUGUUUUUCUGCUGUCUUAGGCACCUGAAACAGAUGGGCUGGAUUUCAUCCUGAAGGACAUUGAGGGCUGCUGACUGUACAGAGUAUUUAUUGCUUGCUUGGAGAGAACUGCCUAGCUGGCACUUCAAAUAAAAAUAAAAGCACAAGUCAAAUGGCCUGGACUUCACCUGUAGUUUCCAUUAAUGACGUGGGGGGUGGUUUUGAUGCUAAAAUUAGGAGAAGGUUGUCACUUAGUGCAAUAUUAUUUGUAGGCCUUAUGUUUGAAUUUGACUUGUAUUUUGUGUUAUUCCGAAGUGGAGUAAAAAAAAUUAAUUAA